AAGUAUCAGUGUUAUUCGGAGUGGCAGAGAGUUCACAGCUCGGGAGCAAAAUAAAUUCUAAAUUUUGUAGUUUUUUUUUUCGGCAAUAUUUUUUGACUAGAUAUUAAGAAUAAAGUGAUAUUUUUUUUAAACUAAUUUAAGCAAAAAGUGAAAAACACAACCAACAAACAAAAGACAGUGAAACAAAACAAACAAAGCAAAAAUGUUCGUUUCGUAAGAAAAAGAAUAAUACAACAGCCAAUCAACACCUACUCCAUUACUACUUUAAACAAUAAUCAACAAAAAAAAACUGCGAAAAAGACGCUAUUAGGGUCUCACUUUAGCUGGCAGGCGCUCUUCCUCGGGGUCCUACGGAUGCUGUAUCAUAGACGAAUAAUACAACAACCAAUCAACACCUACGCUCUUACAGCAUUAAACAACAAUCAAAGAAAAAACUGCGAAAAAGGUUUGUUUGGUACGAAACUAUUUAUUAGUCCAGUUACCGAUCCAAUAGACGGUAUUGGGGUCUCACUUUAGCUGGCAGGCGCUCUUCCUCGGGGUCCUACGGAUGCUGGAUCAUAGACGAAGAAUACAACAACCAAUCAACACCUACGCUCUUACAGCAUUAAACAACAAUCAAAGAAAAAACUGCGAAAAAGACUCUAUAGGGUUGCGCCCAUCAGCUGGCAGGAGGGCGUCCUCGGAGUCCAACGGAUAUACAUAUACGCGAUCAAGCACGAGCACGAG